AACAGUCUACAGCCAUGGUCGCCCCGCAGCACGCCCACGCGCCGCGCCACGCCGCGCCCCGAGCCGCGGGCUGGGGACGCGGAGCAGAAGGAGGCGGGGGCGGCGAGUCAAGAUCCCACGUGCCCGCGCGGGUGGCAGGAGGUGCUGCGCAGGGAGGCGGCCUCCCGGGGCCGGCGGCUGAGUCCACCGAGGCUCGAGCGCGCGCGUCCUGCGGAGUGCGUCUGGCGGCCAGCCUGAGGCCGUCCUGUCCUCCCGGCCAAGGUAUCCCAGCCAGGGCUCGGCGAGAGAAGGGGUCGGGCUGGGACUCGGGUUCUUUCGAUUUCGGUGAGAGGGAAGCCACUGGGACCAGGAGGCUUGGAAGGAGGUUUGUCUCCUGGGGCCUGAAGACAGUAGAGGGAGGAAAGUUUUCUGAGAUACUCCACAGCCCCGUUCUUCCAGGAACCCCUAGCUGAAGUGGGCAUUGGGCGAAGAGUAAACUCUUGAAUCUUUCCCUCUGAGCUAGGAGGAUAAGAAGGGUCCCCAACCCUCUGGAAGCCAAUGAGCUUGUAAAGUUAACCUGGUCCGCGAAGCGUCUGAACAGAUCAGCCUGCUCACCUCAGCCUAUCUCUAGGUGCUGGAUUCCAAUCUGAGACAGUUUCUCAAAUUAGCCCUAAAGAGGAGUGAAUACCACAGGGGCUGAAGUCCUCUGGUGCGGAUGAAGUGUGAACAAGGAUCUCUAAAAAUAUUAUUGUAUAUGUCGCCUGCCUCUGCCAACAUCACCCACUACAGGGGAUGUCUAUUGAAUAUCAGGUGCACUGUGAGGAUUAAAUAGGAUCAUGUAAGUAAAAAUCCAAAAACAGCA